CGUCUUAAUGCCCAUCAAUCUUGUAGCAGAUGAUAAAGCUGAAUGACCAUCUCCGCAACCUUCGUACAAUGGUUGCUUUCCAGCAUCCAACAUAUCAUAAAAUCUCCUAGCUUCGGCAUUCGGUAAAUCUUCCCCUCUAAAAUGAUCAUUUACCAUCUGCUCAGUACCUACACCGUAAUCUACAUCCGUUCUAAUUGGAUCUUCUAAUCUAACUGCUGGCUGAGGUUCGCUAGUACUACCAUGUUCAUAAUCAGUUUCCCCAUGAUGAUACCAAAUUUUGUAACUUCGUGUAAACCCACUCAAAUAUAGAUGAGUCCAAACAUCCCACUGUUUAAUAACUUUUUU
rnacentral:lncRNA from 1 species